AUGGAGAAAAGCAUCAAAAUCACUAACUUGUCAUUUCUACAUUUUGUGAUUAGUCUUAACCCUUUAAGCUUCCACAACAAGGUUUGUGUUUUGUUUGUUUUCCAGCAAAAACUCGUGUACAUCCUGGCUCCUCCCCUACCUCUUUCCAACAAUUCCUCAGAGCUAUCCAGAAACUUCCUCAGGAUACAGUCCUCAAUAAAUGCCUCAGAAAAAAAGUAUUUCUCAACUUUUAGGUUGUGUUUUGGUGUUGUGUGUGUGUGUUGGCAACAUGUGUUUUGGUUGUGUUUGUGUGUGUGUGUGUGUUGGCAACACAAUAACACCUCAGGACCUCAAACCCCAUUUCCAGGAACUUUUCCUGAAGUUGCCUGUGCAGCGCCUGGUGCAGGGCCCGGCGCCCUCCCGAUGCUGAGGGAAUCCACGUCAGCGAAAACUGGGAGUUGGGUGGCUCUCACUCUGAGGUGGUCCCGGCUGUCAUUAACCCCUCAGCCCGAGACCCCCUUUCCACACAUGAAGCAGAGGGUGCUGGGGUCCCUCGUGCGCCGCAGACGCAGCACCGCGCGUCCUCUCCACAGGUGUGGCGCCGCGGCGACCGCGCACCCGGUACCAGGAAGAGGAGGACAGAAGGGGACGGAAGGGGACCAACGGCUGCUCGAGGCCCCCACCAAGGGGUCCGCUCACCUGGGACCUGGCCGCCAGGAGCGGGGGCCGGAGCGCCAGGUCUCUCAGAAGUUUCCGGGCCUGCGCUCCCACGGGGGCCGCCAUCUUAUCCAGGAAGCCAGCGAGGGGACCCUGACGGGGUGCCGGCGGGGCGGGAGGGGGCUGGAAGAGGAAGGGAGGGGGAAGGGGCGGGGCCGCCCGCCGCCUACCGCCCGCCCCGCCCCCUCCGCCCCGCCGCGCCCCGGCGACCGCCACCUCGGCCCCAAAUUCACUUUCAGCAUUUGGAGCCUCCUCUUCGCGCUACCGCGGGUCACAGUGAAGCUCUUUGAAGUCAAGGAUUCCACCAGAGUUCUACACUGUACUUUACUGAGAUGAGCACUGGGUUUUCUGUGAAACUGGAUUGAGUUCAAAUCCCAUAUCUGUCUUCUAUGAAUCUGUGAUCUGAGGAGCAACCUGCAUCAUACAGCAAUA
rnacentral:lncRNA from 1 species